AAAUUACUCCCUCCGUUCGAAAUUACUUGUCUCGGAUAUGGAUGUAUCUAGAACUAAAAUACAUCUAGAUACAUCCAUUUCCGCGACAAGUAAUUCCGAACGGAGGGAGUAAUAC
rnacentral:pre_miRNA from 1 species